UACGGGGGGUGCGAGCGUUGUCCGGAAUCACUGGGCGUAAAGGGCGCGUAGGUGGCGUGAUAAGGGUGUGGUGAAAGCCCGGGGCUCAACCCCGGGUCUGCCAUGCCGACUGUCAGGCUGGAGUACUGUAGGGGCAGGCGGAAUUCCGGGUGUAGCGGUGGAAUGCGUAGAGAUCAGGAGGAACACCGGUGGCGAAGGCGGGGUCCUGGGCCAGUACUGACGCUGAGGAGCGAAAGCGUGGGGAGCAAACAGG
rnacentral:rRNA from 1 species